GUAGGUGGCAAGCGUUGUCCGGAAUUAUUGGGCGUAAAGCGCGCGCAGGCGGUUCUUUAAGUCUGAUGUGAAAGCCCACGGCUCAACCGUGGAGGGUCAUUGGAAACUGGAGAACUUGAGUACAGAAGAGGAAAGCGGAAUUCCACGUGUAGCGGUGAAAUGCGUAGAGAUGUGGAGGAACACCAGUGGCGAAGGCGGCUUUCUGGUCUGUAACUGACGCUGAGGCGCGAAAGCGUGGGGAGCAAACAGGAUUAGAUACCCUGGUAGUCCACGCCGUAAACGAUGAGUGCUAAGUGUUAGGGGGUUUCCGCCCCCCUUAGUGCUGCAGCUAACGCAUUAAGCACUCCGCCCUGGGAGUACGGCCGCAUGGCUG
rnacentral:rRNA from 1 species